UACGUAGGGUGCAAGCGUUGUCCGGAAUUAUUGGGCGUAAAGAGCUUGUAGGCGGUUUGUCGCGUCUGCUGUGAAAUUUCGGGGCUCAACCCCGAACUUGCAGUGGGUACGGGCAGACUAGAGUGUGGUAGGGGAGACUGGAAUUCCUGGUGUAGCGGUGAAAUGCGCAGAUAUCAGGAGGAACACCGGUGCGAAGGCGGGUCUC
rnacentral:rRNA from 1 species